rnacentral:rRNA from 1 species
UACGUAGGCAGCGAGCGUUGUUCGGAGUUACUGGGCGUAAAGAGUGCGUAGGCGGUUUUCUAAGUUUGGUGUGAAAUCUCCCGGCUUAACUGGGAGGGUGCGCCGAAAACUGGAAGGCUUGAGUAUGGGAGAGGUAAGCGGAAUUCCUGGUGUAGCGGUGAAAUGCGUAGAUAUCAGGAGGAACACCAGUGGCGAAGGCGGCUUCCUGGCCUGUAACUGACGCUGAGACGCGAAAGCGUGGGGAGCGAACCGG